UACGUAGGGUGCGAGCGUUGUCCGGAAUUAUUGGGCGUAAAGAGCUUGUAGGCGGUCUGUCGCGUCUGCUGUGAAAAUCCGGGGCUCAACCCCGGACUUGCAGUGGGUACGGGCAGACUAGAGUGUGGUAGGGGAGACUGGAAUUCCUGGUGUAGCGGUGAAAUGCGCAGAUAUCAGGAGGAACACCAGUGGCGAAGGCGCCGCUCUGGGCCGAGACUGACGCUGAGGAGCGAAAGCGUGGGUAGCAAACAGG
rnacentral:rRNA from 1 species